GAGAAAUGAGGAAAAUUUAAUUGAGUCUUGAGUUACCAGUGACGACUUCAGAUCCAACUCCGAUCUCACUCCAGCA